UAGGGAAUCUUCGGCAAUGGACGAAAGUCUGACCGAGCAACGCCGCGUGAGUGAAGAAGGUUUUCGGAUCGUAAAACUCUGUUGUUAGAGAAGAACAAGGACGUUAGUAACUGAACGUCCCCUGACGGUAUCUAACCAGAAAGCCACGGCUAACUACGUGCCAGCAGCCGCGGUAAUACGUAGGUGGCAAGCGUUGUCCGGAUUUAUUGGGCGUAAAGCGAGCGCAGGCGGUUUCUUAAGUCUGAUGUGAAAGCCCCCGGCUCAACCGGGGAGGGUCAUUGGAAACUGGGAGACUUGAGUGCAGAAGAGGAGAGUGGAAUUCCAUGUGUAGCGGUGAAAUGCGUAGAUAUAUGGAGGAACACCAGUGGAGAAGGCGGAUCUCUGGUCUGUAACUGACGCUGAGGCUCGAAAGCGUGGGGAGCAAACAGG
rnacentral:rRNA from 1 species